rnacentral:rRNA from 1 species
GCGUAAGCGUGCGUAGGUGGUCGUUUAAGUCCGUUGUGAAAGCCCUGGCCCUCUCCUGGGAACUGCAGUGGAUACUGGGCGACUAGAAUGUCGUAGAGGGUAGCGGAAUUCCUGGUGUAGCAGUGAAAUGCGUAGAGAUCAGGAGGAACAUCCAUGGCGAAGGCAGCUACCUGGACCAACAUUGACACUGAGGCACGAAAGCGUGGGGAGCAAACAGGAUUAGAUACCCUGGUAGUCCACGCCCUAAACGAUGCGAACUGGAUGUUGGGUGCAAUUUGGCACGCAGUAUCGAAGCUAACGCGUUAAGUUCGCCGCCUGGGGAGUACGGUCGCAAGACUGAAACUCAAAGGAAUUGACGGGGGCCCGCACAAGCGGUGGAGUAUGUGGUUUAAUUCUAUGCAACUCUAAGAACCUUACCUGGCCUUGACAUGUCGAGAACUUUCCAGAGAUGGAUUGCUGCCUUCCGGAACUCGAACACAGGUGCUGCAUGGCUGU